CUCUCCGCUGGCCCAAAGCUAAACAGUGUACCGAACGGCCAGCCUCUACAGCUUCAGACAUACCAAGGUCACGAUAAGACAAUUAGUGACACCCAGCAGAUUCCGAACGGAAGAACUCAUCUUCCGAAUGGAAACCUUCCGAACGGACGCACACACGUUCCGAACGGAAAUGUUGCCAAACUCUUGCACGAUGCCUACAGGAUACAGCAGUUCGAGACUACGGCGUGACUAGCCGACAAUAGCAACAAACAAACUUGGAAUGAGAUUUCUGUUUAGUGGCUCAAAACAACCGCGAAUUCCUAGCUUCGGAUCCUAAGACCAUAAGAUGGUCGGUAUGUAAAGAGAGUCAAUGAAAUAGUUUCCCUUUUUAUUUUCGUAUUUACGGAAAGUUUCCUUGUAAGAUGAGUGGGAUCGACUAUGAAGUUAGGAUCGGAAAAGUGCUUCCGGAUUCCUGGCAGGAAAUUCCAGUGCAUAAGUUUAAAAUGUGCAUUUAUUCGAGAGAAAGUUCUUAUUUUCGGUUUACUUUGGAGAAGUGAUCAGGGGAUGGAAAUAGAAAACCUUGCAAUACAAGUUUGUUCCCUGUGCAACAACAAAGUUUGCCACGUGACCACAGAUCGAAGUCAGUGUAUCUUUUGUUCGAAAAAAAUAAAGGAUAUAAAAAACUAGUAA
rnacentral:sRNA from 1 species